rnacentral:rRNA from 1 species
GACGAACGCUGGCGGCGUGCUUAACACAUGCAAGUCGAACGAUGAUGCCCAGCUGGCUGGGUGGAUUAGUGGCGAACGGGUGAGUACCACGUGGGUGAUCUGCCCUGCACUUCGGGAUAAGCCUGGGAAAGUGGGUCUAAUACCGGAUAUUAACAAGGACUGCAUGGUUUUUGGUGGAAAGGUUUACUGGUGCAGGAUGAGCCCGCGGGCUAUCAGCUUGUUGGUGGGGUAAUGGCCUACCAAGGCGACGAAGGGUAGCCGGCGUGAGACGGCGACCGGCCACACUGGGACGGAUACACGGCCCAGACUCCUACAGGAGGCGGCAGUGGGGAAUAUUGCAGAAUGGGCGAAAGCCUGAUGCAGCGACGCCGCGUGAGGGAUGUCAGCCUUCGGGUUAUAAACCUAUUUCAUCAGGAACGAAGCGAAAGUGACGGUACCUGCAGAAGAAGCACCGGCUAACUACGUGCCAGCAGCCGCCGUAAUAC